UACGUAGGGUGCGAGCGUUAAUCGGAAUUACUGGGCGUAAAGCGUGCGCAGGCGGUGAUGUAAGACAGGUGUGAAAUCCCCGGGCUUAACCUGGGAACUGCAUUUGUGACUGCAUUGCUGGAGUGCGGCAGAGGGGGAUGGAAUUCCGCGUGUAGCAGUGAAAUUCGUAGAUAUCAAGCAGAACACCUGCGGCGAAGGCGGCCUUCUGGACGAUGACUGACGCUGAGACACGAAAGCGUGGGGAGCAAACAGG
rnacentral:rRNA from 1 species